UACGUAGGGUGCAAGCGUUGUCCGGAAUUAUUGGGCGUAAAGAGCUCGUAGGCGGUUCGUCGCGUCGGCUGUGAAAACCCGGAGCUCAACUCCGGGCCUGCAGUCGAUACGGGCAGACUUGAGUUCGGUAGGGGAGACUGGAAUUCCUGGUGUAGCGGUGAAAUGCGUAGAUAUCGGGAGGAACACCUGUGGCGAAAGCGGCUCACUGGACCAUAACUGACGCUGAUGCACGAAAGCUAGGGGAGCGAAUGGG
rnacentral:rRNA from 1 species